rnacentral:rRNA from 1 species
GCGCAGCAGUCGCGAAACCUCCGCAAUGCUCGAAAGAGCGACGGGGGACUCCAAGUGCCUACGCUCAGCGUAGGCUGUUCCCGAGCCUAAAAAGCUCGGGGAGUAAGGGCUGGGUAAGACGGGUGCCAGCCGCCGCGGUAAUACCCGCAGCCCGGAGUGGUGGCCGGCUAUUAUUGGGCCCUAAAGCGUCCGUAGCCGGGCUCGGGUAAAUGCCUGGGGUAAAUCGUCUGGCCCAACCAGACGAAUUCCGGGUAGACUGCCGGGCUAGGGACCGGAGGAGGGGAGAGGGUACUCCAGGGGUAGGGGUGAAAUCAGCAAGGUGAGUUGCUGAUGUAACUUGCCUUGUAAGUCACAAUCCUGUAAUCCCCUGGAGGACCACCGGGUGGCGAAGGCGCUCUCCUAGGGACGGUCGACGGGUGAGGGACGAAAGCCCAGGGGAGCAAACCGGAUUAGAUACUCCCGUAGU